rnacentral:rRNA from 1 species
GACGAACGCUGGCGGCGUGCUUAACACAUGCAAGUCGAACGGAAAGGCCCUGCUUUUGUGGGGGGCUCGAGUGGCGAACGGGUGAGUAACACGUGAGUAACCUGCCCUUGACUUUGGGAUAACUUCAGGAAACUGGGGCUAAUACCGGAUAGGAGCUCCUGCUGCAUGGUGGGGGUUGGAAAGUUUCGGCGGUUGGGGCUGGACUCGCGGCUUAUCAGCUUGGUGGUGGGGUAGUGGCUUACCAAGGCUUUGACGGGUAGCCGGCCUGAGAGGGUGACCGGCCACAUUGGGACUGAGAGACGGCCCAGACUCCUACGUGAGGCAGCAGUGGGGAAUAUUGCACAAUGGGCGGAAGCCUGAUGCAGCAACGCCGCGGGCGGGAUGAAGGCCUUCGGGUUGUAAACCGCUUUCGCCUGUGACGAAGCGUGAGUGACGGUAAUGGGUAAAGAAGCACCGGCUAACUACGUG